GAUGAACGCUAGCUACAGGCUUGACACAUGCAAGUCGAGGGGAAACGACAUCGAAAGCUUGCUUUUGAUGGGCGUCGACCGGCGCACGGGUGAGUAACGCGUAUCCAACCUGCCCACCACUUGGGGAUAACCUUGCGAAAGUAAGACUAAUACCCAAUGACGUCUCUAGAAGACAUCUGAAAGAGAUUAAAGAUUUAUCGGUGAUGGAUGGGGAUGCGUCUGAUUAGCUUGUUGGCGGUGUAACGGCCCACCAAGGCGACGAUCAGUAGGGGUUGUGAGAGGAAGGUCCCACACAUUGGAACUGAGACACGGUCCAAACUCCUACGGGAGGCAGCAGUGAGGAAUAUUGGUCAAUGGGCGAGAGCCUGAACCAGCCAAGUAGCGUGCAGAAUGACGGCCCUAUGGGUUGUAAACUGCUUUUAUAAGGGAAUAAAGUGAGUCUCGUGAGACUUUUUGCAUGUACCUUAUGAAUAAGGACCGGCUAAUUCCGUGCCAGCCGCCGCCGUAA
rnacentral:rRNA from 1 species